UACGUAGGGGGCAAGCGUUGUCCGGAAUCAUUGGGCGUAAAGCGCGUGUAGGCGGUUCGGUAAGUCUGCUGUGAAAGUCCAGGGCUCAACCCUGGGAUGCCGGUGGAUACUGUCGGACUAGAGUACGGAAGAGGCGAGUGGAAUUCCCGGUGUAGCGGUGAAAUGCGCAGAUAUCGGGAGGAACACCAAUUGCGAAGGCAGCUCGCUGGGACGUUACUGACGCUGAGACGCGAAAGCG
rnacentral:rRNA from 1 species